UUCAAAGUGUAAGUAUGUCCCAUGCACAAUUUGGGAUAUACUUAUACUAAAA
rnacentral:pre_miRNA from 1 species